rnacentral:rRNA from 1 species
CACGUAGGGGACGAGCGUUGUCCGGAUUCAUUGGGCGUAAAGCGCGCGUAGGCGGCUCGGAAAGUCGGGCGUGAAAUGCCGGGGCUCAACCCCGGGACUGCGUCCGAUACUUCCGAGCUGGAUGUAGGUAGGGGAGAUCGGAAUUCCUGGUGUAGCGGUGAAAUGCGCAGAUAUCAGGAAGAACACCCGUGGCGAAAGCGGCUCUCUGGAACGGUACUGACGCUGAGACGCGAAAGCGUGGGGAGCGAACAGG